rnacentral:tRNA from 1 species
GAGCCAUUAGCUCAGUCGGUAGAGCACCUGACUUUUAAUCAGGGUGUCGAUGGUUCGAAUCCAUCAUGGCUCACCA